rnacentral:rRNA from 1 species
GACGAACGCUGGCGGCGUGCUUAACACAUGCAAGUCGAACGAGGAGCGAUGGACGCUUGCUUCUAUCAAUCUUAGUGGCGCACGGGUGAGUAACGCGUAAUCAACCUGCCCUUCAGAGGGGGACAACAGUUGGAAACGACUGCUAAUACCGCAUACGAUCUAAUCUCGGCAUCGAGGAUAGAUGAAAGGUGGCCUCUACAUGUAAGCUAUCACUGAAGGAGGGGAUUGCGUCUGCUUAGCUAGUUGGAGGGGUAACGGCCCACCAAGGCGAUGAUCAGUGGCCGGUCUGAGAGGAUGAACGGCCACAUUGGGACUGAGACACGGCCCAGACUCCUACGGGAGGCAGCAGUGGGGAAUCUUCCGCAAUGGACGAAAGUCUGACGGAGCAACGCCGCGUGAGUGAUGACGGCCUUCGGGUUGUAAAGCUCUGUUAAUCGGGACGAAAGGCCUUCUUGCGAAUAGUGAGAAGGAUUGACGGUACCGGAAGAGAAAGCCACGGCUAACUACGUG